rnacentral:lncRNA from 1 species
UUACCAUGGCGGGUCUCUAGAGUCCGUCCCACGCAGCGUGCAGCCCGUGGAAGUCGCAGAAGGCGGCCUGGCCAGUUGGAGGACUCUCAGCAGCGCGCGCAGGACACACACUCUCUCGCCACGACACCGGAAGAAGCCGCCCACUCCGGCCCGCGUGAUCCGAGCGCUCGUACGGCCCGCCUCCUCGUCGCUGACUGCUCCUGCGCCGUCGCCCUGGCUUCGAGACAGGAGAGACGCUCCCGCGUACACAGCUGAAAUGGUAGAUUCCUGUCACCCAGGAAUGUCUGGACCAGGCUCUUUCCCGCAGUGCCAACCUCACCGCGCCUAGCAAUUGUAUUUAAGCAGUGGCGUCGUCAGACGGUGCAGGCAGGAAACAUGUACACGACUUGCAAAGUAGGAGCCGCAAGUGCCUUUGCUGUGACCGCAGCAAAGCCUUCCAAGUGGCUGUGGCUUCUUUCCACGGUGGUGUUGACACAAGCAUGCUAUGCUGCGGUGGGCUUUUCCGAGAGCCGAAGCCCUCCGUGGCUUCGUCAAACAGCUCAGCCUGAGCGAAAUCUAGCAGGUCUGACUUGGGAGCCCUCACUUGCUGUGUGAGCCUUGUGCUUGGCAAGGGAUGACCAGGCCUCUCCAUCAGGAAAUGGCCCACAGAGAGACUGGUAAUGGGGCUACUGUGCUCUGCACUGGGGAGUGGGGCUGGGCUGGGUUUUCCUUGUGGCUAGCGGCCAGCAGGUGUCCCGCCAGAGACAGUCUAGGCCUCUCCUUUAGGAAACAAGCCACGUGAAGACUGGAAGUGUAGCCACUCUGCACCUGGGAGGGUUGGGUGGGUCUUCAUUGCUGGGGACUUGAGGAGGGGGCAGGACUCAGCUCCUCACCAGGAGGAAGAUGCAGGCUGGGGAUGCAGAGGCUCAGAUUAGUGACAAAGUGCAAGCAUGGGUCUGGAGCCCCUGCCCUAAAUUUCCUUUUAUUUGUGGAGUGACAUUUUUUUGGGAGGUGAGAGAUAAUUCAUGUAACAUAAAAUUUGCCAUUUGAAAAUACACACCAGCGAUUGUUAAUAUACUUACUGCAUUGCAUACCCUUACCUCAGUAAUUCCAGAAUAUUUUCUUACCCUGAAAGAAAUCUCAAACCUUCCAGCCCCUUCUUACCCCCACCCCUAGCAGCUGCUUCUUCUGUUUAGAUUUCUAUGUAUUUGCUGAUUAAAUAUUUCAUGUCGAUGGAAUCAUGAUGUGAGGUCUUUUCUGACUGGCUUCUUUAACAGCAGAAUCGUUUCAAGAUUCAUCCAUAUCAGAACAUGAGUCAGCACUUCAUUUCUUUAAAAAAAUUUUGGACAUACUGGAUAUUGAACCUAGGGGUAGUUUACCACUGAGUUGCAUGUCAGCCUUUUUUCCCUUUUCCUUUUUGAGGCAGAGUCUUGCUUAAUUGCCCUGGUAGGACUUGAACUAGUAAUCCUCUUGCCUUGGCCUCUUUCAGUGCUGGGAUUAGAAGCAUGCACCACGAAACCUCGUGCAUGCUUAUAUUUUAUUUUGAGAUAGAGUCCUUUCUUAGCUGAGGCUCCUGCCUCAGACUCUCAAGUGGCUGGCAAUAUAGGUAUGUGCUGUGACACUCAGUAAUGCUUCAUUCCUUUUUAUGGUGACACAGCAUUUUUAAUCUACAUACCGAAUUUUUUUCUUUUGGUGCCAGGAAUUUCACUCAGGACCUUGUGCUUGCCAGGCAGGCACUUACACCACUGAGCUGUAUCCCCGGCCCCUACGCACUGAAUUUUAUGUAUCCAUUCUUCAUUUGAUGGAGAUUUGUUUGGAUUUUUUCUGUUUUGGUGCUAUUAUCAAUAAAGCUGCUGUGAAAAUUCACAUCCAAGUGUUUUUCCGUGUCUGUGGAUAAUGUCUUAAAUUUGUUUGGAUGUAAACCUAGAGGUAGCAUUACUGGGCCAUAGGGUGACUGUGUGCUGAACAUUUUGAAGAACUGCCAAACUUUUCAUAAUGACCAUACAGUUUUAUAUUCCCAACCGCAAAGUAUGAGGAUUAUAUUGUCCUUAUCUUCACCUAUAUUUAAUCUCCAUUUUUAAAAGAUUAUUUACAUGCAAAUGAUGAACCAUGUUCAGCAUUUUG